GGUCAGUCGGAUGAUGAACCGUGAACCAGUUGGUUAAAUCUAUUUAAUUUUCAUCAAUCGCUACCCCAGUCUCAGGAAAUACAGACGGCAACGUGGGACAGAAUACCUGAAUAUAAAAGAGCUAUCACUAGUACGCUGUCGUCAGCACUGGUGCCUCCAAGGACAGAGUUGUUCUAGUGAUGAGUCCACCCAGCACAUCAGCUUUUUA